rnacentral:rRNA from 1 species
GGACUACCGGGGUAUCUAAUCCUGUUUGCUCCCCACGCUUUCGCACCUCAGUGUCAGUAUUAGUCCAGGAAGCCGCCUUCGCCACUGGUGUUCCUUCCGAUAUCUACGCAUUUCACCGCUACACCGGAAAUUCCGCUUCCCUCUCCCAUACUCGAGUCAGAUAGUUUCGAAUGCAAUUCCCAGGUUGAGCCCAGGGCUUUCACACCCGACUUGCCUGACCACCUACGUGCGCUUUACGCCCAGUAAUUCCGAUUAACGCUCGCACCCUCCGUAUUACCGCGGCUGCUGGCAC